rnacentral:lncRNA from 1 species
AAGAGAACAACAGAAAGCUAAAGAAAGAAAGCACACAAAGUGUUUGAGUAAAUGCUCAAGAAUUCUAUUACUCUUAAGAAUUCAAGUUACAAUGGAUGAUUUACAAAUGAGGGGGAGGCUCUCUAUUUAUAGUUGAGCUCCCCCAAAACCGACGGUCAAGAUACAUGUACAUCGACGGAUGAGAUUCACUAUAUCCCUUGAUUUUAGGGAUUUACAAGAUUUACCUUAUCAAAUCUAAUCUAAUCUUACAAGAUAUGAUUCUAUUCUAUCUUCUAAGAUUAGUUACCAAAAUUGCCUAAGUUGCCAUGUCUUCAUCAUUGGGCCAACCAGGCUUCAAUCUGAUAGGCUUCUUUAGUAGCUCUUUGAAUCGGGCCAGUUCUUGUGGGCUGAAUGUCCCCCAUCUAAUCGAUAGACCUCCAUGGGGCGCUUCUUGCGGCAUGGUCACGGGCUUUGCACUUUGGCCCGUGACAUUCUCCCCCACCCAAUCUCGCAACGCCCUCGUUGCGUUUUUUGGAUGACACUGACUUGAUUCACUGUGAAACUCUUUCGUUGCCUCGGCUUCUUCCUGACUCAUCUUGCGAUCAGGUUGUCCCUUCCUUCGGAACUUAUGCCUCGACUUCUGUCCCUCUUAUCUUGAACCGUUCCACUCGUUGGUACAUUCUGUUGGCAAGUAGUCUCCGCUUUAACUUGCCCCAAUUUUGACUUGUUUCUGUUGGAAUCCCCUCGAUUCUCAUACCUCGGCUUCGUACCGCCCACAGUUCCUUGGCCUCCUCGCUUAUGAACUUUGAAAGGGCCCCUACGACCUUGCCAAGCCAACAAGUCAGAAUUCAAAACACUAUCAGAGUGUUUGCAAUGCACCUUACUCGUAGCAUUUACUCGUCUCGACUGUCCUUGCAUCGCUCCUUUUCCCUUGAAGCCCGAUGCACAACCCACCUUUCCCAAAGGUGUCAGCUCCACAGUCGAUCCCGCAGGCUUCAUAUCGGUCCCUUGCGCCACUAACACUUCCGAAGAGGCUUUCGUAGCAUUCCGUUUUACCGAUAUAAUGUUUCUCCCAUACGAAACAUCUUCGACUAGUUGGAUUGACGAUAACACCUUAGUCCUAACUUUCACAUCCCAAUGCACCGGCACAAUACUCUUUGUUGAUGGACCGAUGGCAAUAUGGAUUUGAUCGGCCCCUAGUUGCAAAGUUGCCUGAAUCCUAACAAGGAAGUUUAAGCCAAGCACAAAAUCGUAAUCACUUAAUUGGAUUACCUCGAAUUCUUCCUUGCUCUUCCAUUCGCCGAUUUGUAUUUCCACGUCACGGACUACUCCUACAGUUGGGGCUUUCUCAGAAGUUGCUACCUUGAUCUUCUUAUUCGAUUUCCUAAUCGACAGACCAAGCUUCUUCGCAGCCAUUUCCGACAUGAACAAGUCCGAUGCUCCCGUAUCAAUAAGAGCACUCCGCUUCUGACCCGCAAUGUUGACGUCCACAAACAUCAACCCAUUUCCAUUCCUCUUCCCAGGAAUGAGCACCAUCGAAUUGACUUUCGAUGUGUUUCCCUCGGUAGGCUUCGCCUCCUCCUUCGGCUCAUCAUUCUUUGCCGAGAUCAUCACUUUAUUUGGACAUUUACGCGCCAUGUGUGGUCCUUGACAAAGGAAGCAUUUCAUCUUCUUCCUCUUGUCCCUUGGGUUGUCUAAUCCCCGCUUCGCAUCUCGUGGUUUCCCGUUGCCACUUGUGCUAUCAGUACUUACUGUUGCCCCCAUCGCUAUGUCCCCUUUCAUCUUCUUCAUGGUUUCUCUCACCAUUGCCCCUUCCAUUGGGUUUAGAUGCCUCAAGCUUGUCUCUCGCCGGAUCAAGCUCAACAAAGGACUCUACUUCGGCCAUGGCUACAGUAAGUUCGGUGAUUCCUUGCCUUCGCAACUCCUGCUUUACCCACGGCUUUAACCCAUCCUCGAACCAAUAGAAUGCUUCUUUCUCGCUCAAGUCGGAGAUUUGAAGUAUCAACUCACUAAAUGCCUGCACAUACUCCCGAACAGUGUCUUGUUGCGUGAGACGACGCAACUUUGCUCGAGCCUCCUUCUCGGUAAACUGAGGGUAAAACUGCUUCUUCAACUUUCCUUGAAACUCCUCCCAAGUUCCAAUAGCCGUUCCUCCACUUUUCUCAUCCGUGGACCUACGUCGCCACCACAAGAGAGCAACAUCAGAAAAGUAAAUCGAAGCAGUGUUUACCUUAAUGCCAUCAUCCUCGAUGCCCAUCGCUCGGAAGUAUUACUCCAUUUCCCACAAGAAGUUGUCCACAUCCCUCGCGGAUCGUGCACCCUUAAACUUCUCCGGUUUGGGAACAUCCAUUGCAUGUUGCUUCGGCCUUGAAGACAACAUCCCAUUACUCAAAGUGGAUUUGUAAAUCGCGAGCUCGCCUUUGAGCUCCUCCAUUUCUUUCUGCAUGGCUAGCACCAUAUCCUCGAGAGCUUUAUCCCUCUCUGCCAGCUUUACCUCAGUGGACUCGAGUAAUUCCGUUAUCUUUUCCCUAUUUGCACCGAGAGAAUCCAACACAAAAUCUCUGAGUUGCUCAUCCAUUGAGUCUAACCCAUCUGUGCGUCCCUCGACCAAUUCAAGCGUCUCUUUCACGUUCCCUACGGAUUCCUCAAGAUUGACCACUCGAUUCUCCAAAGCUGUCAGCAUUUCCCUCGAGCGACUGGCUUUUCUAGCCCUCCCACGGGUCUCCAUUGGCUCACUCUGACCAACGACUUCUUUUGACAUCCCAACAGUGCCUUCGAACCACUCGAAUAACUUGGUUCAAAACCUGGCUCGGAUACCACUUGUCACGGGGCUAGACCUUUCGUCUCGCAAUCCGUGCGGCCUUAGGCGAUCCGUUCGUCCAAACUCGCCCAAGUCAGCCUUACUCCCAAAAGAGAGGAUUCUUUUAGAACUCCUCCAAGGCACCAAUUUAUAUAGCGGAAGCGAUUGUGCCAAAAGAAGCCACAAGAGAACAACAGAAAGCUAAAGAAAGAAAGCACACAAAGUGUUUGAGUAAAUGCUCAAGAAUUCUAUUACUCUUAAGAAUUCAAGUUACAAUGGAUGAUUUACAAAUGAGGGGGAGGCUCUCUAUUUAUAGUUGAGCUCCCCCAAAACCGACGGUCAAGAUACAUGUACAUCGACGGAUGAGAUUCACUAUAUCCCUUGAUUUUAGGGAUUUACAAGAUUUACCUUAUCAAAUCUAAUCUAAUCUUACAAGAUAUGAUUCUAUUCUAUCUUCUAAGAUUAGUUACCAAAAUUGCCUAAGUUGCCAUGUCUUCAUCAUUGGGCCAACCAGGCUUCAAUCUGAUAGGCUUCUUUAGUAGCUCUUUGAAUCGGGCCAGUUCUUGUGGGCUGAAUGUCCCCCAUCUAAUCGAUAGACCUCCAUGGGGCGCUUCUUGCGGCAUGGUCACGGGCUUUGCACUUUGGCCCGUGACACUAG